UCUUUUAGACAUCGUAUGGUCAUCGCGCCAUCAUCGUAAUCCAUCUUGUAGCCUUCGUAAUCCAUCGUGUAGCCUUCGUGAUCCAUCGUAUAGGCUUCGGCUGAGAUAUGAAGCUUAAAUACCCGUCUUCGGUUAACCUUCGUAUGUCCAUCUUUUGCUAUCGUAUAUAAUUUCGGCACCAUCGUAUAGACUUCGUUAUUCAUCGUACUUGCUUCGGUCACUUUUUGACAUUUUAACGAGAUCGGGACC
rnacentral:lncRNA from 1 species